rnacentral:lncRNA from 1 species
UUUUUUAAAUUUUUUUUUCUUUUUUAAUUGAAAUAUCUAGUCAGGGUUUAUAUAUAAACUAACGUAAUUUAGUGACAUAAUAAAAAAAAAAUAUGACAUUUAAUGUGUGAACCCAAUAAAAUUGUACUUGAUCUAGUCGAUAGCUUUAUGCUGAAGCCAAGUAUUCGUAUAGAGUUUAAUGUUAUUUAAAGUUGAACUAAAGACGGGAACAUCAAUUACUUACUUAAAAUCGAAGAAUAAAAAGUAAGAUCUUGUUCUAAUUUCUUUUUAAAAUACAAAACAUUCUUGACUGAGUAAAUUUGAUAGUCAAUCUCGAAGCAGUACUUAUUCUGGAAUUUUUUCCGUACACUCCACAUAUUAGAUUCUGUCUCAUAACUAUGUAACACGCAUCGAAAAGUUUUUGUUUUUUUUUUUUAUAAAAAGUUAUAGAAACUUUAUGCUAUUACAUCAUGUUGCUACUUCGUCUUUUUUUUAAUUUUCUUAUGAAACAAAACUUAAAUAUUUUAUUAAUGAAAUUUACUUAAGAAAAGGCGAUAAAUUAGAUUUUAACGAAAUUUUAUAUUAGUCGGUCGAAAAAUACAAAAGUUUAACAUAAUUUUCUUCUUUUUUCCUUGAGAUAUUUGAAUAUAGUCGAUCGUUAUAUUUUCUCUUUUGUAUUUUUCGAUAAAUCUAUAGAUUUUUAGACUGAUCACAACAACUUAUAUACACCUUAAAUUUGUUAUUUUUAUAGAAAAAAAAAAAAGAUAAAUUAUCGCAUUUACUUAAAAUUAUUAUUUAUUUUUUUUCAAUAAUUUUUAUCAAUUUAAGCACAAAACUAUGUAUUUUUUAUAUUUAUUUAUUGUAAAUGAUCAGUAAUUUAUAUUCGAGUAUUGUUUUUAAAAAUACUUAAGCUUUCAGUCGGCUUGUUGGCCUUGCCGUUUAAGCGCUUAGACGGCCCGAGCAACAGGUUGACAGGCGAGGGUCGAAUCUCCGAGAGGCCGUUUUUUCGGCAAUCUCAGCGCUUCGACCAGUAGCCGGCUGUACUCUGACCGGGUUUUUUGUGGUUUUCCUGGUCACUGUGCUAAAAGGCACAGGUGAAUGCGAGUACAGUAAAAUGUAAGUCAGCCACAGUCACAAAAGCGAUCUAUUGCUUGUGAUUAGAUAAAGAAGUGAGAUAAUUAUGUGGAGGGAAAUUAUAAAGAUAAGCGGAAAGGAUAGUCACACGCAGGAAGAAAGUAUGACCUCCUAGGUUUUUGUAAAACACGAAAGUAAUACCCAAAAUAGUAAAGUAUUUAAAUUUUCACAAAAAUAAAAUUAAAAACAAAACAGCAGAUAAAUUAAAAUUAAAAAUUAUAUAAAUCAAUAUAUUUUUAAACAAAAAUAAAAAAUCAUUAAUGCAUUUUUAUCCCUGAUUAAGAAACCUAAUUUGAAAUGAUUUGAAAUAAUUUUAAAGCAUUUGAUUUGAAUAUUACUUAAAUAUACAAUAAACAUAAAGGUAAUCAUUUUAAAUCAUAUUUCUGAAUCAGGGAUAUUCAAUAUUUAUAUACCGAUUAAAAUAUAAAUAAAACAAUAGUUAAUUCGCUUGAAAAUAAUAAAAACAUAUUUAUAUUAUCAAUGAUAUUAGAAGUAAUCAUCGACGAUAUGAAUAAUAUUCUAAUAUUAUAAACAGCGGGACCAAUAAUUAUUAUACAUAUUUUUCUUUUUAUAUACAAUAGAAAAUAAUCAUUAUAUUUUUUAUUAAUAUUAUAAAACCGGUAUUAUUUUAAAAUAGAUACUUUAAUGCAUAUUUAACGAAAUCGGAAUAACGUGUAACCCAUACAAUCCAUUUAUAUACUUUGUAUAAUCGAUCAAACAAAUUUAUUUAUAUAAUACAUAUAUUCUUUUAU